UGCACACACGAAUGAGUCAUGAGCAACUAAUUUACUCAGUGAAUCCAGAAUCACAACACAAUCAAUAAUAAACCAAACAAUUAUCAAAUGCAUAUCCAUGAUCAUGCAAGUAGUAGUACGAUACUUUAGUAUACCAAUGAUCAUUGUGAAUUCUUAUUUUAAACAUCACUUCCACAACACCCGCCCGUUACCAUACUCAUAUAAUACAAUAUAUAUACUAGAC
rnacentral:lncRNA from 1 species